rnacentral:ncRNA from 1 species
UUUAUGGAGAGUUUGAUCCUGGCUCAGGACGAACGCUGGCGGCGUGCCUAAUACAUGCAAGUCGAGCGAAUGGAUGGGAGCUUGCUCCCUGAAAUUAGCGGCGGACGGGUGAGUAACACGUGGGCAACCUGCCCUGUAGACUGGGAUAACUUCGGGAAACCGAAGCUAAUACCGGAUAAUCUUUGGAGCCUCAUGGUUCUAAAGUGAAAGUUGGGUUUACCU